rnacentral:rRNA from 1 species
CCUACGGGAUGCAGCAGUGAGGAAUAUUGGUCAAUGGCCGGAAGGCUGAACCAGCCAAGCCGCGUGAAGGACGAAGGUGCCAAGCAUUGUAAACUUCUUUUGUCAAGGGACAAAAUCAGGCUCGAGCGCCUGACCGAAGGUACUUGAAGAAAAAGCAUCGGCUAACUCCGUUCCAGCAGCCGCGGUAAUACGGAGGAUGCGAGCGUUAUCCGGAUUUAGUGGGUUAAAAGGGUGCGUAGGCGGGCUGUUAAGUCAGCGGUAAAAGCCCGGGGCUCAACCCCGGCGAGCCGUUGAAACUGGCUGUCUUGAGAUGUCGAGAGGUAUGCGGAAUGCGCAGUGUAGCGGUGAAAUGCUUAGAUAUCACGCAGAACUCCGAUUGCGAAGGCAGCAUACCGGCGCCCAACUGACGCUGAAGCACGAAAGCGUGGGUAUCGAACAGGAUUAGAUACCCCAGUAGUC